rnacentral:rRNA from 1 species
CAGUCGCCGCGGUAAUACGAAGGGUGCAAGCGUUAAUCGGAAUUACUGGGCGUAAAGCGUGCGUAGGCGGUUUGUUAAGUCUGUUGUGAAAUCCCCGGGCUCAACCUGGGAAUGGCAAUGGAUACUGGCAAGCUAGAGUGUGUCAGAGGAUGGUGGAAUUCCCGGUGUAGCGGUGAAAUGCGUAGAGAUCGGGAGGAACAUCAGUGGCGAAGGUGGCCAUCUGGGACAACACUGACGCUGAGGCACGAAAGCGUGGGGAGCAAACAGGAUUAGAUACCCCAGUAGUCCCUGUCUCUUAUAA